UCAUUUGACAUUUAUAUGCAUUGUGUUUGUUUGUAUACCGGCCGCUCGAGUAGCAUGUACAGUCAUUCGUUUUCGAAAUAAUUUACCAAAAGUAGCAUGAAGAUGUGGCCUAAUCCAAUUAAUUAUUAUAAAUAAUAUUGGUAGUCCAAUUGGGAGAAAAUGCUGUCGCAUCCAUUCCGCGUCUGCCGUCAGAAUGCUCACCGGAGAGCUCAGCAGGACAGGGUGGUGGUUCAAUCGCGACAUUUUUAGAGCAUCUUUUCAAGGAUAUUUGAUCGAUUACUGGCGAUCUGUAGCAAGCGGUGGUGUUCUACAGAGCAGAAUCUGGUUCAGCCCCUUUACAUGCAGCGUUGAGCACUGCAAUGUUACACACCAGCGAGAGCGAUGAUACAGACGACAAGGUUUCCUGCCAUCUCUGGGCAAGUUACCAGCGGUAACAAAUAGCUUAACACGUCCAGUCCGAUGGCAGGCCCCAAAGCCUGCCAGUGAACUUUCCCGUAUGCCGAUGACAGGCCCUGGGGCCUGUUAUUGGUCUUUUGCCAGGAAAACAACAAACAUUGCAAACAAUUGUACUCCAUUCGCAUGAAUAGCAGCAGUGGGCAAGUAAAAGAACGGUGUUCUAAGAAUUAUUGCGGUUGAUAAAACAACAGUAUUGAUGAACAGAGUAGAGUUGAAAUUAUGGUGAAAAAACUCAUUUUUUUUACAUGCGUGAUUGGUUCAAAAUCCACUGCUUGCGUUCUAGAUGCCGGCGGAAUGGAAAGUUUAUGAAAAUCAGCGCCAUGCUGAACGUGUUAAGAGCGACGCAUCCUCCGGACCAUUUUUGGCGGUGUAUUCGAGCAUGGAGUUUUGAGGAGGAGGAUGAACAACGAGCUUGCUUAGCUGUACGGCGAACCCAGCAUUCUGACGGUGGCGAAAGCUUUCGAUGGCUGAGGCAUAUUAUGAGGAUGUCGGAUUCAUUCCCCACCAAGGUUUUCGACAGCGACCCCCAGUUCGGCACUAGGUGCAGGGACGCACAGCGAGCUCAAUGGCUGGAUGGGACCUGUCUGAGAUCGGGUGUCCUACAUGGAUGAUAGGCUGCAACCAGCCACCGAGCAUCCUGAAGAAUAGUUGUUGACCGGGCUAGGUUAUGAUGACGUGCUCCAGGCUCGUGAGCAGGCUAACAAGAGACAGCGAGAGAGUGAAUACGUCUGAUUAAGUUCCCGAAAAACAUGAAAGAUAAGAACGAAUGCAUCAACCUGAAAUGCAUGAAAAGCAAUUUUACAUAUAAUUCCCUACGAUAGACGACAAUGAUUAGAAGAUAUUCAAAUGUAGUUUAUAUUUCUAAUUAAGAAGAAAAUGCAUUUGUUCUUACUUGUGUCUUACUUGUAUCUUUUAUUUCACUGUAAAAUGUUUAACAAAAAAAUGUAAUGUCUUAAUCCUUAAGAUUUUGUUUCAACUAUGUAUCGCUUUUAAGUUUCUAAGCAUUCUUUUUUAUUUAAUAUAAUUUCAGUAUGAAUCGCCA